UAGUCCACGCCGUAAACGAUGUCAACUAGCCGUUUGUGUCCUUGAGACGUGAGUGGCGCAGCUAACGCACUAAGUUGACCGCCUGGGGAGUACGGCCGCAAGGUUAAAACUCAAAUGAAUUGACGGGGGCCCGCACAAGCGGUGGAGCAUGUGGUUUAAUUCGAUGCAACGCGAAGAACCUUACCAUCCCUUGACAUCCUAAGAAGUCGCUAGAGAUAGCAAUGUGCCUUCGGGAACUUAGUGACAGGUGCUGCAUGGCUGUCGUCAGCUCGUGUUGUGAAAUGUUGGGUUAAGUCCCGCAACGAGCGCAACCCUUAUCCUUGUUUGCCAGCACGUAAUGGUGGGAACUCCAGGGAGACUGCCGGUGAUAAACCGGAGGAAGGUGGGGACGACGUCAAGUCAUCAUGGCCCUUACGAGUAGGGCUACACACGUGCUACAAUGGCGCAUACAGAGGGCAGCGAGACCGCGAGGUGGAGCGAAUCCCAGAAAGUGCAUCGU
rnacentral:rRNA from 1 species